UGUGCCCACAUAAUCCACCUUAGCCAUGAUACAAGCUUUUACACGCUUUUGAUCAUGUACUUUACAUACAUGAAUUGAAAAAAGUUUCCACUUUGCUAUUACACAUUUCUGCCUCUUAAAUUAUGGAUCCAAAGAGCCCAUGGGCUAUCCCUAUUCGUGGACUAUCGAGCCCAAGGGCUACCCCUAUUAAGGGACUAUCGAGCCCAAGGGCUACCCUUAUUCGGGGACUAUCGAACCCAAGGGCUACCCUUACUCGGGGACUAUCGAGCAACACGGGCUAUCGAGGAGCGCCUCGCUCCUCCUCCUUCUGUUUUGAGACAUCAUCAGCGCCUCACCCCCAUCCCCCACCCCCUUUUAGAUCUUCAUCAUUAUUUCCCUCAAAAUUAAAGAUACACACACAUACAAAAACAUAGAAAAGGAGACAGCCGCCUCCCCUCAAAAGCCCCCUCUCUCGUUUUCUGUCUCAACUCAUCGCCGGCGAGCUCAGCCAAAAAUCGGCGACGGCUACUGCUCCUCCUCCUCCGUCGUCUUCCCCAUUCUUUGUUACUGCUUCAAUGGAAGGUGAUGGAUCUGGCCGGAAAUCCGGUUUUAAAAGCUGUGGAGUUUCAAUUGAGGUUUGAUGUGCCAUUGAAUUGAGGUUGUCGUCGAGGUCCCCAGUUCGAGCUUUCUGUUUAGUUGGUUAUUCGGGUAGUGUUUGAGUUAUAUCGGUACUCUCUUCCUCGAUGUAUUCAUAGAAAUUCAAUAUUUAAACAAAUUUCAAAGCUUCUGUUCAUUUAAAGCUCCGGUGGCGGUCCGAUUUGUAGCUGUAUACGUAAGAAACCAUGUGGUCUGUUGCUCGUUUUUAGUUAACAUACUCAUUCAUGGAGAUUCAUUUUAACCAGAAAAGAUUGAUUCUCGAGGCCCGCUCUUCUUUUUGCUUACUGUUAUUUUAGUUCAUUUUUCUUGUCGUUUAUUUGUUCUGUGUGUUAAAGCUUGGUGGUUUCGCCGUCUUGAUUGAAACAUGUAUGUUUGGAUUUGUAGUUUGUCGAUUUUGUGAGCGUAUAGCGUUGGUCUAUUGUUAUUAAAUUUGUUCUUGAAAGUUGAACGAAAAAUUAAUGAAACAAUAGUGUUAAGUUCAUUGGGUCCAUGGAUUUUAAUUUAAAUUAAUAAGAGUUGGGUUUGGAACUAACUAAUGGAUAGUGGCGUGGUUUGAUACAAACUAAUGAUUGGGCCAGUGGUUAAUCUUGUAAAUUUGGUAGGCUGUGUGGAUUUACUAAGGUCCUGCAUCAUAACGUUUGAGUUCAUAUAACAAAAUUUUGGGUUUAAGGCAUUUUAACAUAAUAGGCCACAUGGCAAUGGGUUUAGAGUGGACUUUUCAGUGGCUUUGAAACAUAAUAUUUGGUCUUUGAUUUAAAAGACUUGGACCAUAAUAAUUUUUGGGCUUCAAUAUUGGUACAAGAUGGCCUACUUACUCCUUUAAAUAAUUUACUUCAUUUUCCACAACUAUCCCAUAACCUAUGGCCUUUGCAAUAACCUCAAAACUAAUUUAGGAAAAUAAUUCUUAAUAAUAAGAUAGAGUGCUUUAGGUGCAAUUUUCAUCAAUCUAUCGUGAUUAUGUAUACGUUCGCGUGACAUAAUUAUGAUUUUUCAAAAUUAAAACCGAAGUACGAGUUCGUGCGACUUUGGCCAAACAAUCUUUAAUAAUAAAUAAAGUGUUAUUAAUUAUGUACACGUACGCGUGACAUAAUUUUUAGCACCCCAAAUAAGGUGGAUUUACACACAUGUAAUCCGGUUAAAAGAUUAAAUCCAUAAAAUACCAUAAUAAAAAGCGGUAAAAGGUAAAAGUACAUAGGUUUGAAAAUGAAUAGUUAAACAAAUUAAUUAAGCCAGGUAUGAUUAAAAGCGACCGUGAUAAAACCACAGAAUCUGAAAUGCCUAACACCUUCUUCCGGGUUAACAGAAUUCCUUACCCGGUCUUCUCGUUUCGCAGACUUUAAAACGGAGUCAAAUCUCCUCGAUUUGGGAUUUAAAAUAAACCGAUGACUAGGGAGACCUUAAAUUAUUCCAAGUGGCGACUCUGAGAUUGAAAUAAAUAAUUCAAUUUCGAUUAAUGUCACUUUAAUUGGAAAAACUCACAUAUCCCCUCGGGAAAAAAGGAGGUGUGACAACUCUGGCGACUCAGCUGGGGAUAAGAACCUAGAACUUCUGGUUCAGAGUUCAGAAUUCAAGCUUGUUAAUGUGAUCUAUACUUGGCUUUCUUGAUAUUUGAUAUUACUGUGUUUGUGCCUGAUGUGCUAAUUGCCGCUCAUUUACUGCUUUUGAUAUUAUUUGAAUUGUAUUAAAUUAUCUUCUUACGCCUCCCUUCUGAGUCUUCUAAAAAUAUGGUGCACACGUACACGUAGCCCACUUUUCUGUUAGAGGUCGUACCAAAUAGAAUGAGGCUGGAUCAGCAACUAGGCUGGGUAAACUUUCGUGCUCCCGGUAUAUUGCCCCACCUCGGCUCGAGCUGUCCGCUUUGGUAAGCCAUGUCUAGAACACACUCCCAGGUUUAAACCUAGAAUAAUAUAACGUUAUGCCGGAUCCCUAGUAGGAACGUUUGUUUGCAUCAUGUGCAUUUGACUUUGGGGACUCAACACAGGGGUUGGGUCGGUCUAGGACAGGUGUACCCGAAAUAAAAGACCAUCCUGAUGCAUCAUACGUGCUAUGUGCGCAUUUAUUUGUUUCGCCUUGUUUGUUGACCGGCUAAGGAAAGAAAAUCAGCAGAAAAACCAAGGUUGAGGUAGGAUAGACCCGGUUCUUAAAACCCCGGUAUUUGAAAAUGCCUCGAAACUUUGCCAAAAUUUUUGAAAAAAAAAAAAGAGAAAGAAAAUGUAUUUCAAAAACAAUUUGUCAAUAUCAUGUUUUUCCAGUUAUGUCAAAACUAGCCGAACUACGCGGGUCUGAUUCUCACCGGAUGUGAGAUACGCAGGCAAACCUCAUCGGUUCCGACCCCAAUUUUCAAAAAAAACAAAAAAAAAAAAAUAUUUUCCUUUAAUUCCUUCUUUAGAAGUCUUUUCUUAGAAAAUCCCAAACAAAUAAAAAAAAUUAAAUCCAAGAAUAUUUUCCUUCUGUUUUGAAAUCUUUCAUUCAAAAAAAAAAAUCAAUUAAAAUCCAAAAUAUGUUUUUCCCUUCUUCAGAAGUAUUUUUCCAAAAAAAAAAUAAAAACAAAAAUCAAAAGCAAAGAUCAAAAAACAAAAAUCUUUUUAUUCUUUAGAAGUCUUCUUUCGCAAAUGUCAUAAAAAUUGAAAGGUUGAUGUCCAAAAAAUACUUUCUCUUUUCGUCACAAGUUCGCUUUCAAAAAUUAUAAAGAAAACUCACAAAGUUGUUUUCCCAUAAAAUUUAAAAAAAUAAUAAUCAAAAAGCCAAAAAAAAAAUAAUAAAUAAAUAUUUUCUUUCUUCUUUAGAAGUCUUUCUUUUGAAAAUUUAAAAAAUAAUAAUAAAAAUCAAAACGAAAAUUUAAAAAUAUUUUCUUUCCUCUUUAAAAGGAUUUCUUUCGCAAAAUUCCCAAAAACAAAAAAAAGAAAUUCAAAAAAAAUUAUUUUUCUUUUUCUAAAAGCUUUCAUGGUCUGAGUUUUAUAAAAGUAAACCAAAAAAAAAGAUUUAGCUUAUUUACUCCAUUCUCGAUCUGCCUGAACUACGUAAUGAUCCGAUUCAUGCGGCGUCAUGAUACGUAGGCAAUCCCCAUUGGAUUCGAUCUUAGCCUCAAAAUUAAUUGAGAGAAAAAUAAAAUAAAAUAAAAAGAGAAAGGAAAAAUUGAGUGAAAAAGAAAGAAAAAAGUGAAAAAAAAGAGCGACAAAAAAUAAAAGAGUGACAAAAACAAAACCAAAAAAAAAAAACGAAAAAGAGAGUGCCAAAAAAUAAAAGAGCCACAGAAACAAAAUUGAGAAAAUCAUGAGUGAUUAAAGAAAGACAGAAUUGAAAGAAAAGAGGUACAGAGGGAAAAAAGGUUAGUUUAAGGCCGGAUGAAACAUGCAACCGUUCAAAUACAAGGUAGAAGCAUUUAACUGUUUAAGUGCAUUGCAUACAAACGUGCGAUUUCCUAUCUAUUAAGCGCCUCAAAACUAACAAGGUUAUUGAGUGUGCAAAUUAGCCAGGUUCUGUUAAGGUGGUUGGUUUUGUUGGUAAUCUGGUUUCCCAUCCUUACUUCACAAGAUCCAAAGGCGGGGUUCCUAUGGCCUCCGAAAGUCAUCUACCAAUUAUUGAUCCUGAGGAUAGCCCGGUGUCGGCUAUUCCACGACCAGAAUCAGCAGCUACUGAAGAGAAUAGGAUGUUGCGUCUCCGCAUAUUUGAAAUGUGGGGCGCCUGGUCUAAUGGUAGGGAACCACCAACUGCAAUGCCUGGGUUCUUUGAGUUGAUCCCCAGGUUAGAUGAGGCUACCAAUGCCCCCGUGACCAACCUGUUCAUCC
rnacentral:lncRNA from 1 species